rnacentral:rRNA from 1 species
GUGGGGAAUAUUGGACAAUGGGGGAAACCCUGAUCCAGCCAUGCCGCGUGAAUGAUGAAGGCCUUCGGGUUGUAAAGUUCUUUUGGAGGGGACGAUGAUGACGGUACCCUCAGAAUAAGCUCCGGCUAACUUCGUGCCAGCAGCCGCGGUAAUACGAAGGGAGCUAGCGUUGUUCGGAAUUACUGGGCGUAAAGGGCGCGUAGGCGGUUUGGUCAGUCAGAUGUGAAAGCCCAGGGCUUAACCCUGGAACUGCGUUUGAUACUGCCAAGCUUGAAUUCGGGAGAGGUGAGUGGAAUUCCCAGUGUAGAGGUGAAAUUCGUAGAUAUUGGGAAGAACACCAGUGGCGAAGGCGGCUCACUGGACCGACAUUGACGCUGAGGCGCGAAAGCGUGGGGAGCAAACAGGAUUAGAAACCCUGGUAGUCC